rnacentral:lncRNA from 1 species
CUCAUAGUUUUCCAAACACAACGGCCGGAAAAUUGGAUUCCUUUUUCUGCGGAUCAUCACCAUUGACAUGGUAUCUCUAUAUCUUAUAUCCUAUCUGUUUAGUUGCUCCUUAAUCAACAUUUAUGAACUGUAGCACUAGAGGAAUUGUAAGCGUGAUCACCGUAAGACUCUUGAUUACAUCCUUUAAGUUGAUUUGAGAGAUAAUUUUACUAAAAUUUCUUAUCAAAGGGAGUUAAUGUACCGGAUAAAUUCAAUGUAUUUUCCUUUUUGAUUGAAUUUGUUUUUUCUUCUGGACAAUAUGCGGAUUUAUAGUCUUUAGAAACCCACAAUCAGUCUUCUUGGAGCUGUGAAGAUUCUGCAGAUCCACUGACUUCAACCUGGAUUCUCAUGUUGAGUGCUGUAACUCUUGAUAACGAAAUACUUUACAUUAUUAAGCUAGCUGAUUGUAAAAUCUUUUUGUUUUUGCAUCUCGAAUCUGGCUGGAAAUGCUUGAAGAGCUUGAAUUCGCUUCUCUAUUUGAAGUAUAUCAUCCGUUGUAUUUUAGUUGAAAGCCUUUUCAGAUUUAAGUAUAUGUAUUUCUAUGAGUCGUUCUUCUUUGCUAGUUUAUAUAGCUCUCGUUUGCCUCCAUUAAAUUACAUUUCAUUUUUCUCUCUCAUAUUUUCAAUCUUACAAUCUUCCAUAAAAUAAUAUUACAUGUAAACCGCAAAAUUUUCAUUUUUUUUCAACCACUCAUUUUUCAAAAGAAUACUAUUCCACCCAUGUUCAUUUCAAAAAAUGGGUGCCAAAUGUGGUUAUAAUUUAAUAAUGUCAUGUAAAUACUGAGAGGAGCUUUCUGAAUAUUUCGUUCUCAUCAGGUAAGGUUAUCUUCUAUUGACCUCGAAUUUUGUACCUCCAACGUGAUCAAUAGAUCUCAAGGUCUCCACACAAGCCUAAUUCCUGCACACUUGAACAAAUCCUUAGCUACACGUGACUUCGUUUGGUGGGGUGAAGUUGGCCGCGCGUAGUCCGACAGUCAAGUUGGGAUAGUAAAUAAAUGAGUGUGGGAGAGCUUUAGAUGUGAGCCUUCAGUGUAAAAAGGUGGUUCACUUUGUGGAGUGAUAGAUAAAAUAGUGAUAUGGUAAAGUUAUAGCUUGAGAGUCUAAUGGGGUCAGUAAACACAUUGGUUCAGCCACUUCAAGGGGUUCGGUCAAAACUGCCGCUUGGUAGUUUGACUCGAAGUGUGGGGCCCCACGUUUGCUUGCCACGUAGGAUAUUUGGAGCCUUAUUAUGGAAGGCAUAAAAUCCCUUUACUAGAUUGAUCUGAUUCUUGUUUGCAAACUACUGGUGAGGGUGGAUAUUGUCUUCAGCCAAUGUCACAAUUCGCGUGCUUUGGGGAUAAAUUUCUAUUUGGUUCGUGCAGAAUUUGUAGUAAGAGUUCAAUGGAUUUUCUUGUACUGGGACUCUCAUUUUCCUCAUCUUUACUUGCUUCUCCAACAAGUGCCAAGCACCACGGAAGGAGUAGCAAUUACAUGAUGAGUUGGUUUGUUCUCGGACACUGUCCCAAAAAGGUAAUUGUUCACUUUCCUUAAUUUGUUUUAGUGAAGCUCAUUUAGUAUUGAAUGUAAUUAGAAUAAUAACUGAAGUUCUGCAAAUGCAAGUAGCUCUAAGUAACUGCAUGUUUUUGGACAGGGAUUUGCUACAAGAACAGGGGGCUGACUGCCCCCUGACCGAACCCCACAAGUAGGGGGGUCCCAUUUUUUUGCGGGCCUCACCCCCAUUUGUGGGGCUUCUGUUAGGGGGGCGGUCAGCCCCUUGUUACAGAAGCUUUAUUCUUCUUGACAUGGUAGAACUAAAUACUAUUACAAGUAAACACGCGUGUAGCGAUUGCAUUUUUUUUUAAUGUCAUGGUAGUCUGGAAUAUAGUUUCACGCAUGAAUAUUUUGUGAAAUGCAGGUUACAUUUAUUCCAAUUAGCAGUAGUUAUUAACCAUGUUAUGUUUGUGUAAUCAUUUGUACUUUAACCCCGAAAAACUGUGGUGUUUUACCUAAAUCAUUUUUCUUCACGCCAUUCGGUUCAAUGUUAGAUUUGUCGGAAGAUAAAUUGAACAACCAGAUGUUUAGCAAUUUGAGUAGGACACGUUAGUAUUAGAUUAUGUAUUCUUUUCUAACACAUUCUAUUGAGAUCGUACUACUCUUUAUAAUAUUAUCGAUAGGUGUCACUUCCACUCUAUAUUUUUGCAAUCAAGAAAUAUUACUAUUUCACUUUUGGAAUUGAUUUCGUAAAAGCACAACACGGUCAAUUAGUUUGCCAAGCAACUCUUUUUUGCACACCGAAAUCACGAUAUGUAGGAUGAAUUACCGACAGCGCAUUAUAGAGCUUUCCAACACAGAAAACACUCCUUGUUUUCAGGGAAGUUGAUAAAAUGAAGAGAGAAAACACGAAGAACAGUUGUAAUCAUCAUAUAAAGCAAAACAAGUAAUCAUAACAAAUAGGCGGCUAAAUAUAGGAAAACAUUGGAUCCUUUUCACAGCUAUACAACAACAACCUGACUAAUAAUGGCCUGCAAACUAAGCCAGGGAAAUUGAUAAAUUUCUAUAUAAAAAAGUAACAUAAACUAAGAUACUUGUACUUGAAAAUAGUUGAGGAAAUUCUCUCUUUGAAAGUUAGUUGAUCCCUCCCUCUUCAGGGGGCAUAGGAAAUGGAGAAGAAAAACGGGAUUUUUUGCUAUGCAGAUAGAGUCGACAAGUUUUUUACGUUCUUGGGACAUUAGGCAGCAUUCGAGAUGGAUUGCAAAUUUCUAUUAUGAUGUUUGUACUCAGUGCUGUCAUCAAUGAGUACGGAAACUUUAACAGUUCAGUCUCUAUACAUACUGUCGACAAGGUAUAAGAAUGAACUAUUGGGUGUGGCUGAUUUUGAAAAGCCAAAAGCAGCUUCUGAGACAAAAAGCUGCUUUUAGACCUGAUGAGAUAAUUUUUGGAAAUUUCUAUCUGGUUAGAAGAGCUCUUAGAAGAAGUUAACCAAAAGUGGCUUCUCUAGUAAGCUCUCCUACAAAAAAUAGAAGCAGAAGCUCUUCUACUCGUUGGAGGUUGCUUGUCACUGUUAACUCAAGCAUUUUUUGGAGCUGUCUUUCCCUACACACUAGGACUCGUGUUAACAUGGCGGCUAGUCCUUGUGAUGAUGUCGGCUCAGCCCUUACUCAUUGGAAGUUUUUAUUCAAGGAGUAUUCUGAUGAAGAG